rnacentral:rRNA from 1 species
AUUGAACGCUGGCGGCAGGCCUAACACAUGCAAGUCGAACGAGAGGCGGACGGGUGAGUAAUGUAUGGGAAACUGCUUGAUGGAGGGGGAUAACUACUGGAAACGGUAGAGAAUACCGCAUACCAGCGAAUGUGCCCAGAUGGGAUUAGUUAGGAGGUGGGGUAGCGGCUCACCUAGGCGACGAUACCUAGCUGGUCUGAGAGGAUGACCAGCCACCCCGGAACUGAGACACGGUCCAGACUCCUACGGGAGGCAGCAGAGGGGAAUAUUGCACAAUUGGCUGAAGCCUGAUGCAGCCAUGCCUGGUGUAUGAAGAAGGCCUUCGUGUUGUAAACUACUUUCAGCGGGGAGGCGUUACCCGCAGAAGAAGCACCGGCUAACUCCGUGCCAGCAGCCGCGGUAAUAC